rnacentral:lncRNA from 1 species
GGCAGACAGAAAACACGGUGGUGAGAUUUAGAACCCGGGUAGAGAGAAGAGAGAGAUAGUGCUGAGAGACAGACAGAGAGGCCGAUUACGAUGGUUCCGCCGGUGUUACAACCUUCUCGCCGGCGUCAAUAACACUUGACAACGACGUUUUGAUCAUUGUGGUGGCCGCGAACAUGGUUUGUAUCGGAGAGCGACGAGGUAUGUUCGAUCAGAUGCUGCCAUACCUCUGACAAUGACGACGGUCAAGCGGUUAGGGUUUCCAUCAACUUCCGAUCUGAUGAGUAAGUAACGUCUGGUGAGGUUCCGGUGAACGGCAAGGAGAAGAUUUCAGUGAACGGGUGGAGUUAAGAAUUGAUGGUGGACCAAUGAAGAUUGAUCAGGUUUAGUUGGUAAGAGUGGGUCGAAAUGGAAGUUAUGGAGGAGUUCUUCGGUGUAAAUCGAUUCAGGUUGGAAAGGGUUUAAAGGGAAGUACAGGGGAGUGGGAUCAGAUGGUCGCAUUCGAGAUAAUAUCCCCUGUGCAGAAAAGGCAACAAGCAUCAGAGGAAGUUUUCUGACAUGUUUGGAUCUCCAUGGACUGAUGAUGAAGUUGAGCGCUUCUAUAAAGCUUAUAUGCAGUGUGAAAAAGACUGGAAGAAGGUUUGUGCUUUCUUUGUCCUCUUUUUUUUGUGGUUAAACUACUCUUUGAGACCCACAAUACACUUGUACAUUUCAGGCUAUGUGCUACAUAGCUGCUUUUACAAUAAGGAAGUAUGAGUCGGUGACAUUAAUUACAAGUUUCUUAAUGUAUCUAAGAUGGAACUAUCGUAGUGUCUCAGUUUGGCUGUUACAGUUGUUCUCCAACAAAACAAGUCUCUUAUGUGGUUUGCACAGGUGGUUUGGUUCGGUUUUGAGCCCCAAUCGAUCCACAACUGACACCGAAUCUUUGAUGUAUUACUUGAACCAUGAACUUGGGUACUUCAUAAGCUAUUUUAGAUAGCCGCUAACAUACUCAUCUUUGCAUGAUCCAAUUAUACGUUACACUUUUAUACAAUAUGAUUCGACACAUAGAGGCUUAGUCUCACCUGUCAGUGGCGGAGCCAGAAACUUUUUCUUAUGGUGUCAUUUGUUUAUUACCUAAUUCUUUUAGAAGAAAACAAUACAAUUGUGUUGUUUGUAAAAAGACAAUGGUGUCGCUCGUAAAAAAACAAUGGUGUCGCUCAAAUUUUUCCUAUUAUACGUUAUAUUUGCUACACAAAAUUCAAUGGUGUCGGGCGACACCGUUGUUCAAAGUGUGGCUCCGCCACUGUCACCUGUAAUUGUUUAGGUUGUUGGACUACCCAGGCCCCUCUACCCGAGCGUACUUAUGGGGGUUCCACAAGCACGUCGUUAUUUGUGGUUGUGUGUUCAAACAACACCAUUGCCACAUAUAGGGGCUGUUUAUAUUAUUAUAAAAAAAAGAAUAGAAACUGGAAAAAAAAAAUUUACGGGUCAACCUAACCAAACCAAACCUACCCUUUUAACAUGUCACCAGGCUCACACGUUUUGCCACCUCUUUUCAUUUAAGGGUAGCAGAAAGCCAUCCUUUUUGUGCUACUAAAUGGAUUUUAUGUACAACUAAUAUCUUGGUCAUAUGUUGUUCAGAUGCAUAGAUCUUCAGACUUCAGAACCUGAUUUACUGUAAUUUGUGGAAUACACUAGAAUUAAGGAAAUGACAAACUUCAAAGACUGGCAUAUUUUUUAUAUUAACUGAACCAAUAUUUUUUUUGCUCUGGCCGAGUUGCAUACAUGCAGUAGAAAAAGGUAUAUGUGCUUGUAAGUUGUAUGUUUUCCAUUUCUAUUUUAACUUUGUAAGUUAUAAACUUAUGAUAAAUGAUUCUUCACAAAUUUCACUUGAUGCAAUUUAUGUUUGUAUUCGAACUUUUGGCAGGAGAGUGGGUUAGAGUUUAGAAAAGGUAAAGGGGAAAUUUGUUACCAAGAGGAAACACUUUUCCCAUAUUUUUCUCCUUUCUUCGCUUAUUUCGAGUAACAAGGUUAGGUUUAUAGGGUUUUAUUAUUCUCUUAGAAAUAUACAUAAAACUAUUUUAAUAUCUUGAAUAAGGGCGUUAGAAAUUUUUAAAAUUUCCAAUUCGACGAACUGGUGGGUCGACAAGAACCCCAUGUAAUCAGGAUACUCAAUUCUCACAAUGCGCGCCAUAAAGAAGUUUUUUUGAUUUGGGAUCCACUAUGAUUUGAAUAUACAAAUUUCAGCAAAUAACCAACUUUUAUCUAAAAUAUUUGUUAGAUGUUAGGAGUCGAUUAUUUGGUGUUAAAUUUAGAAGGUUUUGUUAAUUGUUGCAGUAUUUUGAGCUUUCUUGAUUCUCCAUUUGAAGAGAGCUAAGGAUUUGCACAGUUUGUGAGUUGAUUAAAUUGAGCAGUGACUGGUGUUUUUGUUGAUUAUGAUUAGAAGAAUUGCCGUAUGGAGAGGCGAGAUUGAAUAGCUGAACUAACAUGGCGGAGUAAGAAGAUGCCGUACAGUUAAUGGUGCGCAAAUCAUAAACAGAAUAGGCGCAACAGGUUCUUCACCAGCCCAGCUGCAGCAGGAGAAAACCUUGAGACCGUUUUUUUCGUUUAAAUGAUAAAUUGUAUGUGGUUAACGUUUGAUUAUUGUAUAUUAUAUAACAGUUAUUGAAUACUUUGUUGUUUUAUAUGUGUGGUGCUCCUGAAUAACUUUUGUUGGACGCCUGACGAUAUGUUGGUACCUUUUUGCCAUGAAAAUAGAAGACUAAAAUUUUGGGAGAUCA